rnacentral:rRNA from 1 species
GACGAACGCUGGCGGCGUGCUUAACACAUGCAAGUCGAACGGAAAGGCCCUUCGGGGUACUCGAGUGGCGAACGGGUGAGUAACACGUGGGUGAUCUGCCCUGCACUUUGGGAUAAGCCUGGGAAACUGGGUCUAAUACCGAAUAGGACCACGCGCUUCGUGGUGUGUGGUGGAAAGCUUUUGCGGUGUGGGAUGGGCCCGCGGCCUAUCAGCUUGUUGGUGGGGUAAUGGCCUACCAAGGCGACGACGGGUAGCCGGCCUGAGAGGGUGACCGGCCACACUGGGACUGAGAUACGGCCCAGACUCCUACGGGAGGCAGCAGUGGGGAAUAUUGCACGAUGGGCGCAAGCCUGAUGCAGCGACGCCGCGUGAGGGAUGACGGCCUUCGGGUUGUAAACCUCUUUCAAUAGGGACGAAGCGCAAGUGACGGUACCUAUAGAAGAAGCACCGGCCAACUACGUG